rnacentral:rRNA from 1 species
UACGAAGGGGGCUAGCGUUGCUCGGAAUUACUGGGCGUAAAGGGCGCGUAGGCGGAUAGUUUAGUCAGAGGUGAAAGCCCAGGGCUCAACCUUGGAAUUGCCUUUGAUACUAGCUAUCUUGAGUUCGGGAGAGGUGAGUGGAAUGCCGAGUGUAGAGGUGAAAUUCGUAGAUAUUCGGCGGAACACCAGUGGCGAAGGCGACUCACUGGCCCGAUACUGACGCUGAGGCGCGAAAGCGUGGGGAGCAAACAGG